UGGUUAUGACAUUGGCUUGAAACCAAUUUUAGGGGGUUCGAUUCCUUCCUUUCUUA
rnacentral:tRNA from 1 species